rnacentral:rRNA from 1 species
UACAGAGACUGCAAGCGUUAUUCGGAUUCACUGGGCGUAAAGGGUGCGCAGGCGGUCGUGUGUGUCAGGUGUGAAAUCCCGGAGCUUAACUCCGGAACUGCGCCUGAAACUACACGACUAGAGCAUUGGAGAGGGAAGUGGAAUUCAUGGUGUAGCAGUGAAAUGCGUAGAUAUCAUGGAGGAACACCAGAGGCGAAGGCGACUUCCUGGACAAUUGCUGACGCUCAGGCACGAAAGCAUGGGGAGCAAAAGGG